UACGAAGGGGGCUAGCGUUGCUCGGAAUUACUGGGCGUAAAGCGCGUGUAGGCGGCAAUGCAAGUCGGGCGUGAAAUCCCACGGCUCAACCGUGGAAGUGCACUCGAAACUGCAUAGCUAGAGUCCUGGAGAGGAAGGUGGAAUGCUUGGUGUAGAGGUGAAAUUCGUAGAUAUCAAGCGGAACACCGGUGGCGAAGGCGGCCUUCUGGACAGUGACUGACGCUGAGACGCGAAAGCGUGGGGAGCAAACAGG
rnacentral:rRNA from 1 species